UAUAUAUAUAUAUGGAUAUAUAUAUAUAUAUAUAUAUAUAUAUAUAUAUAUAUAUAUAUAUAUAUAUAUAUAUAUAUAUCCAUAUAUAUAUAUAUAUCCAUAUCUAUAUCUAUAUCUAUCUAUCUAUCUAUCUAUCUAUCUAUCUAUCUAUCUAUCUAUAUCCAUGUGGAGCAGCCAGGCGCUGGCUGGAGCUGGAACUCACAGUAACCUCUCCUUCUUGACUGCUCCUCUUUUACCAUCAGGGUAAGAAAGGUGUUCCUCACAUCCUUUUUAAAAAAUUUUUAUUUUUAUUUUUUUUAAUGUUUAUUUUUGAGAGAGCGGAAGAGAGAGAGCGAGUGAGCACAAGUGGGGGAGGGGCAGGGAGAGGGGGACGAAGGAUCCCAAGCAGGCUCUGCGCCGAUAGCAGUGAGCCCAAUGCGGGGCUCGAACCCACUAACUGUGAGAUUGUGACCUGCGGUGAAGUCAGACGCUCAACCAACUGAGCCACCCAGGUGCCCCUAAACAUUUUUUUAAAUUGAAGAAUAGUUGAAAUAUUAUAUUAGCUUCAGGUGUGCAGCAUGGUGAUUUGACAAUUAUACACAUUAUACUAUGCUCACCGCGAUUAGCGUCGCUACCAUCUGUUGCCAUGAGAAGUUGUUAUAAUCUUACUGACCAUAUUCCCUAUGUAGUACUCUCCAUCUCCAUGAUUUAUUUAUUUUAUAACUGGAAGGUUUCGUACCUAUCUUUUCUGUACUGCUCCGCCUCUCUAGAUGCGCUGCCCAAAUGAGUGACCGCACACCGUUUUGAAGUCAGGUGUUAAGGACAGUUCCUGCCGGGCCGCCCUGCCUCUCGCCCCAGGACCUGCAGAUCAAGGAUGAUGGGUAGGGCCUGGGUGCAGGACUCUGGACCUCGAGCGAAGAAUGAGGCCAGGCAGUGGGCCCUGCUAAGGGCAAUAAUCAAGAACUGUCUCCCCUCCUUUCCUGAAGGAGCUCCAGUGCCCCACCCAGAUUGGAUGCUGGAACCAUCUAACCCCAAGAGAUUGAGCUUCAUUUCUCCCCAGUGCUGUGGCUUUCCUCUCUGGUCACCCUGAGGACAGGUAGGAUGAUUCUGGUGAGGCUGUGGGGAGGCAGUGGACAGGCACAGCUAAGAAGCGGGAAAGUGGAGGGAGGGUGAGUCACUGGGAGAGAGAGCAGGAGCCCUAAAGAAGGAAAUGAAUCAUAAACGUGGGUCUGAAGGCUCAGCUGGUGACUUCCGAACUUCUGUGAUUUGAGGUCCUAGAAAGUACUCCCUACUUAGCACUAACUGUUUUAUCAGCCUGGGUUAAUAAAGGAUCUUUGGAUUCCGUGUGAAAUGAAAAU
rnacentral:lncRNA from 1 species